AACGAACGCUGGCGGCAUGCCUAACACAUGCAAGUCGAACGAGACCUUCGGGUCUAGUGGCGCACGGGUGCGUAACGCGUGGGAACCUGCCCUUAGGUUCGGAAUAACUCCCCGAAAGGGGUGCUAAUACCGGAUAAUGUCUUCGGACCAAAGAUUUAUCGCCUUUGGAUGGGCCCGCGUUGGAUUAGCUAGUUGGUAGGGUAAAAGCCUACCAAGGCGACGAUCCAUAGCUGGUCUGAGAGGAUGAUCAGCCACACUGGGACUGAGACACGGCCCAGACUCCUACGGGAGGCAGCAGUGGGGAAUAUUGGACAAUGGGCGAAAGCCUGAUCCAGCAAUGCCGCGUGAGUAAUGAAGGCCUUGGGGUUGUAAGGCUCUUUUACCCGGGAUGAUAAUGACAGUACCGGGAGAAUAAGCUCCGGCUAACUCCGUG
rnacentral:rRNA from 1 species